CUCCCCCACACCCCCAAACCUCUCGCGCUCGCUAAGGGUUUUUGGUACCCCCUUCCCCCACCCGCGCUUCCUCCUGCGACUCCUCCUUGCCCAUGGCCUCCGGAGCCCUAGAGGCCGCGGAGCCCCAAGGGGCGGCGGCUCCUCCCCCCGUCGAGGGCAAGGAGGAGCUCCCCGAGAAAUCAAAGGUGGAGGAGGCAGAUCAAGAGGACCGAGAGAUCGCAGCUCUGGAGGAGGGGAAGGCCGAGGCUUCCGACGAGGAGGCCUCGGCCGAAGAUGACGACGGGGACGACGCCCCGAAAGAGAAGGAGAGCGAGGAGAAUCCGAAAGGAGGGAGCUCCGAGGAGAAACAGGGCUUGCCCAAGAGGAGGAGGAAAUCGAGCGUGACGCCCGGAAUCGAGCGGCCCACCAGAGAAAGGACAUCGGUGGAGCGGUAUUCCGCUCCUGCCCUCGUCAGGACGCCCUCCAGCAAGGGCUUCUCCAUCGAAAAGGGCCGUGGUAUACAGCUUAAGGACAUUCCCAAUGACCAGAGAUGGUGGUAGGUUGGUACCGCUUUCAUCCUGGCUUUGGAUGUUGGCUUUCUGGGGUGGACAUCAACACGCAGCAGAGUUUUGAGGCUUUAAAUCAGCGUGCGGUUGCAGUAGUUGUGGAUCCCAUUUAGAGUGUCAAAGGGAAGGUGGUGAUUGAUGCCUUCCGUUUGAUCAACCCACAAACCAUGAUGCUUGGCCAAGAACCUAGGCAAACAACCUCCAACCUUGGACAUCUCAACAAACCGUCCAUCCAAGCAUUGAUCCAUGGGCUGAACAGACACUAUUACUCAAUUGCCAUCAAUUACAGAAAGAAUGAACUGGAGGAAAAAAUGCUACUUAAUCUUCACAAGAAGAAAUGGGCAGAUGGCUUGAUGCUUCGCUGUUUUGACACACAUUCUCAAACCAAUGAACAGAUUGUUCAGGUAAGUCAAGGUCUUAAUCUGUCGCAUCUAGAUUAGAGAAUUGGUUGCACCAGUCACUUAGAGGUGGGUUCUGGACAAUGCAAGACAAGGCCCUCUACUCAAGCAUAUUUUCAUCUAGUGUCCAUGUUUUCCUAAUUAAUUAAGAUCAAUUAGCUUGCGAUGCAUAUAGACUUUCAUUGAACUGGAUGUUGAGAAGCUGUCGUUUUUUGCAAAACGAAUGAUUGUUUUCAAAUUCAGAUCAUUGUUUUAGUUGGAUUUUUAUUUUGGGUGUCCAAGGCUCGGAGGAGAAAAAUUUAGGUUUUAUCAUCCAAAAGCUAAGGACAUGUGCUUUAUGCUUUAGGUGUAGUGUUGUUCAUUCUUUGGUAUAUUCUCUUCCAAAAACUAUUCAUGAAAGUGCACUGCAAAGAUCCUUUUUUAAAAGGAUUGGCAAAGACCUAUUCAAUGAAAAGCGACAGGGCAAAAAUUUAUAGGUGACAAUCUAAAGUCAAAGCUUUACACGAUUCUUGGUGCGUACUCUGGACAGGUGUGAUAGAUAAAUUACAACGCAUCCACCACAAUUAUCGUGUACGAAGCAAAAAAGUCCUUAUGGCCAUUAUGCAUUCUACUUGGCCUCAUUAUGGUGUGCAGGUGCUUUAGGUUCUCUCUUGUACAAGUUACAAAUGUACUAUGUCUUUUUUAUCACACCACUGACCUUUCUGAUUUCCAGUUUCACUCAAAGAGUGUUGCAACUUGUCAUGGGAGACAGAUUUUUGAGAAUUUCAGGGGAAUAACAGAAGAUUAUUGGUUGAGAUCAAGCUCCUCGUUCUUCAGAAGGAGAUGCUCAUUUUGCUGGUAAGGGCAACUUAUUUCGAGCAACUGUACAUAUUUUGCUUUUUCCUUGGGUUGUUGGGGGAAGGUUUGUCUGAGACUCCCUUUUUUACCUCCCUUAUGUAAUAUGUUGCCAUUGUUCAGAAGAAAGAUUCAAGUUUUCUGUGGCCUUUGUUUUUGAGUGUUAUUAGUGACAACUUGUUAUUUUCAU